UCACUUAAAAAAUAAGAUAAAAGUAAACUUUAAAUACCAUCUAUGUGGUUUCGCACUUUCUCACUGUAAUAUCAUGUGGUUUAAAGUGUAUCAAUUUAGUAUCCUGUUGUUUUAUUUUUAGUUUUUCGUCAGUUCCUCCGUUAAUAUUUUGUUAAAUUAUAUACAAAAACUUCAGAUACUCCACCCAGAUUUAUUGAAUAUUCACUUUAAAAUCUUUUAGUUUUAACUUUAUCAUUAAUUUAAUAAAAAAAUUAGCGAAAGUGAUAAUAAAAAGAGAAAAAUAAAAUCACAGAGUACUAAAUUGAUACAUUUUAAAUUAUAAGAUACUAAAAUAAAAAAGUGCGUAGUUUUAGGAGUGGUAUUUGAAGUUUUUUCUAAAAAUAUAUAUAUAAGGAAAAUGGAUGAGCCUACUUUAAAAUGAU
rnacentral:lncRNA from 1 species